rnacentral:rRNA from 1 species
GACGAACGCUGGCGGCGUGCUUAACACAUGCAAGUCGAACGGAAAGGCCCUGCUUUUGUGGGGUGCUCGAGUGACGAACGGGUGAGUAACACGUGAGUAACCUGCCCUUGACUUUGGGAUAACUUCAGGAAACUGGGGCUAAUACCGGAUAGGAGCUCCUGCUGCAUGGUGGGGGUUGGAAAGUUUCGGCGGUUGGGGAUGGACUCGCGGCUUAUCAGCUUGUUGGUGGGGUAGUGGCUUACCAAGGCUUUGACGGGUAGCAGGCCUGAGAGGGUGACCGGCCAAAAUGGGGCUGGGAUACGGCCCAGACUCCCACGGGAGGCAGGAGGGGGGGAUAUUUCACAAUGGGCGGAAGCCUGAUGCAGCAACCCCCCGUGCGGGAUGACGGGCUUCGGGUUGUAAACCGCUUUCGCCUGUGACGAAGCGGGAGGGACGGGAAUGGGUAAAGAAGCCCCGGCCAACUACGGG